CUCUCUUUUUCUGCUUGUCUCUGUGGUGCGUGCUCCCUAGCCAUCCCCCCUACAGCAUUACACCGCCUUUCCCCGCGAGCAGUUCAGGUUCUGAGAAGACCGGAGCCGCCCUUAAGCCGGCAGGAGGCUUUCGCCGGCGCUGCCGACAGAAGCGGGUGGGAGCAAGAGCAGGAGCGGCGGCCGUCCCUGGAAGCUCCGCGGGCAGCGGCUCUCGACGGCCCUCCCGAACCCCCUUCGCAGCACUGCCCCCGCGCUCGUCCCGUCGCCCUCCGCACGCCGCUCUCGAGCCUCCCCAGCGCCGGGUGGUGGUGCUGUGAACAGCGGCGGCAGAGCUCUCGGCGAGGGCGCUGAGAAGCAGCCCGACUUUUCGCCUCCGAAGGGAGAAUGAAGAGCAGUGUUGCCGUUCCCGAGCAGAGUGCUGGCGUCGUGUCAUGCGUCAUCUGUAACCGUGAGGAAGCCGGAGGUCUGCUUUGAGAGAGGCACCGGGGCUGCAACGAGAGCACUUCCCAAGGCCCAUUAUGCCUGCGCUGUCCGAGCGCGGUUCCUGCGAUGAUCUCUGCCAGCUGGGCGCAGUCCCGGUAUGGCAGCCCGUGUCUCAGCUGGUGCCCACACCGCUCCGUUCAGCAACAGGAGCUCCAUGGGGACAAAGGGAACGGGAGGGCGCCUGGAAGGCCUCACCCAAGGGGCCCCGGAGUGCACGUGGCUGCAGCAGGGACCUUAGGUGGACGUGUUUGUAGUUGAAGCCAGGGACUUUUGUACCACGUCUUACACUAGCAGCCCCAAGGAGAUGAGUGUUCUUCCUCGGAAACAAAGGAAAUGUAAUCCAUUCUAUGAUGUUCUUCCUCUGAAAAAGGAAAUUGUGCUAGUUUUACCAACAGCAUCAAAAUCGCAUUAAACGUCACCGGAACAGCUGUACUGUGUGACAAACCAUUUUCCUUGGUACAGGGGCAUGGCUGGAGGGGAGGGGGAGUUCCAAAGUGGGAGGCAGAUGGCUCAAACUGGCUAGGCGCAGCUGCAGUGGGGGAGGCAGAUGGUCCUCACUGGGGGGAAACUGAAUGUAGAGGGGACUGGAUUACUCAAAUUGGAGGGCACAGCUGAAAUGGGGGUGUAGGUGGUCUAAAUUGGGAAGCAGAGCUUGAUAUGCAGCGUGGGUAGAUGACCAAAACUAGGGGGACGCAGGUGCAUAUGGGGUUCGUCUUCAUUCAACACCCAAGCUGGAGGGGACCCACAGGGAUCACAGAUCGGCAGGGGUUGGAAGGAACUUCUGGAGACUGAGUGCAGCAUCCCUGCUAGAGAAGGUUCCCUACAGCAGGUUGCACAGCUAGGCAUCCAAAUGGGUUGGGAAUAUCUGCACAGGAGAUCACUCCACCUCUCUGGACCACCUGUUCCUGUGCUUUGUCACUCUGACAGGAAAGUUAUUCCUCGUGUUUGUAUGGAACUCCCUAUGCUCCAGUUUUCCCUGUUGCCCAUUGUUCUAUCGCUGCACACCACUGAAAAGAGUCUGCCCCCCCCAGCAGUGUGGCAGUGUGGCACUGUAAGGCUCUGGGAGCCCUGCCACAAGUGCAGGAGUUAAUGUGAUUUACGGUGAAUUUAGGAAUCAGUAAGUAAGAGCGUUAAAAACAAAUAACUAAAAAAAAUCCCAAUCCCCCUUCUUAACUGGGGAGAGGCUAGAAACAGGAAUAUUAGACUCUGUUCACGACAUCUAAUUUAGCAACAAACCAAAAAGCACAAACAUACGGUUAUGCCAGAGAAAUGACUAAUAUUAUUUUCAAGGAGACUGUGGGAAAUAAGGACACUACAGAACCUAAAAAAAUAAGCUGGAGCUAUUCCACCAGCCACCAAAUCCUUACGUAGAUGAAAUAGGGUGGAGACCUAUGCUACUCUGAAUCCAAAAUCUACACGUGAAGCCUGCUUACAUUACUUUUUUUCUCAACCAGAUUGAAUUUGUCCAGUAGCUGCCAAAGACAACAAAACGAAGCAAGCAACAAAGAGAGGGAACCGAUUUAGUUUUGAGAAGCUGUCUACAAAACCUAUCCCCGCUAACUGUACUUGUAACAAAACUGCCCAAUUACAGCUGUAAGCACUGACCUGGGAUUGAAUGUAUGUCACCGUUAGGCAGCGAAUGGGUGACAAUGCACACAUUUAACUACUCCCGCCUGUGCAGUCUUUAAAUGCCUGCGUUCUUGUUUAACACAAACCAAGUCUGCCCUGCAAGGCAGAUGCAAGCACAGCUUCUUCCACCACCUGACACUCUUCAGAACGGUGAUGUGCCUCGGAGUGAUGACCAGGUGAAGGAGCAGCCUGUUAGUUCUCCAGUACUGCACACUAACCCAGACAGUAGCAGAGGCAUCUGUGUGUCAGACACAGGCUUGGUAGGUGGACAGGAGCUAUUUGGCAGCUUCUUGUACUUUGAAGUGACAGGUAGAAGGAAAAAAACAACCAGCCCUACAACACAACCAUCCAUGAGUCCUCGGCCUUGGUAAUAACAAGUAACAAAAAUAACAUGGUAAUAACAUAUGACAGUGACAUGAGCCACGCUGACCAACAGCCCCCACCAAGCGUGCCAGCUGGCCGCUGUGCCUGAGCUCCAGCAGGUCCUGCCCAGGUGACCUCAGUUUUCAUCCACAUGCAAGAAGCUUUGAAUUUCAAAAGAAAACACUGAUGGAGGUAAGGACGCAUAUCUUUAAUAACCAAGUGGUAAGGAAGACUGGACAAAAGAAGAAGUCCUCUUAAAUUUCCACCUUCUAUAGCGGUUUUGAGAGAGGAGGACAACGGAAACACUGUUGAGAGAUCUGAACAAAUCAUUCCUGUUAAGUCAGGGAAGGAACAGCAGUGUUCUUCAGGACAGGCUUCUCCCAUGAGCAACCCACAGGCUAGAAAUGGAACACUGAUGCUAGGCAGUUGUGCAGGAAGAGUGCUCCAGCCCCCCUCAGAAAGCAGGCUGUAGCUGCACUCUUUGGCCUGGUUUGUUUUAAAGUCAUGGUGAUACAAAGAGUCUUUCUGGCUGUGGGAGCGCGGGAUGAGACUGAGCUGCCCCGGGCUCCUGCAGACUCCUCUUGGUGUCUGUUUGCAGCAUUUUUCUGCCAUCCAGGCAACUCCCACAGGACGAAGACAGCAGGCCGACGGGAAGCAGCUCCUCCAGCCCAGCCCAGCGUGGCAACCCCUGCCAUGGAAGGCUCUAAGAGAGCACUGCAGGUAGUGGCUCUGCCUUGCUGCAGGGACUGUGUUGCUUGAGACUGCACAAAGCCUCUGUGUAUGUGCGCAGUGAUCUCGAGCAGAGCCCUUGGUGUGCCUUCUGUUUUGCAUUUCUGUCAGCUCCUUCAGCCUCCUUCCAGGAAGCACAGGGUGCUGCACACCUUCCCAGUCUUUUCUCGCCUCCUGGCCUGCCACAGCACACUGAUUUUGACCAGGUGCUGUGAGACAGGAGCACGGCCAUUCUGGAUCCCUGACAGCAGAAGCCGUGGGUCCCCUCAGGCUGCUCUGCUGUGUUUGCCACUAGUUGCAGAUCCUGGCCUGGCUUCUGGGCCCAGGGUCCUUCAGGGCCAAAGUAGCGCAAACAGGCCAGGGGCAGGGCUGCAGAGUUGAAGGAAGGCCCCAGGGGUUGGUGUGACAAGGAUCGACACCACUGAUGACAGGGCUGAGUCUCCUGCUUGCCAGGACCUGCUGCGGGGCCACUCACAUGCCUUUCCCCAUGCUCACCCCCACUGCUUUCUAUAUUGGCAAAGGCUGAGAGUCCUGCUGAGAGUCUUGGCCUUGCAGAGCAGUCCCUCCCUGCAUACUACAGCAGCAUAGCAAGCCCAACCCGGGUGCCCAGAGCAGCUUCUUGGCCGACUGGGAGAGAAACCCAAGUCCAGAGCUGCUCUCAGAGCCAGCGUUCAUCACGGCCCAGGGCUCUGCUCUGCCCUCUGAUCAGAACGGGGAGAGCAAAGGCAGAAAUGGAGGAUUUUUCUGGGUCCGUGCCAAGGAUAAUCCUUGGCAACCAGUCCCAGACUUAACCUCUGUGCCGUAAAUCCCCAGGCUUUUCUCUAGCCAAGAGAUGUUGGCAAAUACAGGGGGAGGUGCUUGUAAAACAGAAACCACAGCUCUUUUCCAGAGCUUUCCAGAGAGCCCCACCUUGCCCCACUGUCCCUCAGGAGUGGGGAGGGCAGAGAGCUUACCCAAAAUGUUAGCGCUUAACCUUUAACAAUGAAGGGAAACUGUUAACCCUUAACCCUAACCCAAAAUGAUCAUCCUUAGACCUUAACCUAAACAAAAAGGGUACCCCUAAGCCCUAACCCAAAAGUGUAACUGUUAACAAUUAACCCUCACCCAAAGGGGUAACCCUUAACGCUGUAAGCAUAACCCAAAAGCGUAACCCUUAACCCACUGGUGUCCACCCCUUAGGUUUGCCUGGGCCACAUUUAGGGAAUGAAAAUUGCCUUGGGUCACAUAUAUGCAGGUUGCUCCAAAAGUAAUGCCCCCUCUUUAUUUCCAUGGAAACGACAACAGAUACAAGAGCACAAUAACACCAUUCGCUAGAGCAGCUUCUCAGCUACAAAACUGUUAUUGCAACACAGUCGCCGCCAUUAGCUCUGCAUUUUCGCCGAGGUUCGCUGCUUCCGAGCUGUUCCGGCCAGAACCACAGCGACUGACCGCGAGCUGCACGGCGCUUUCGGUCGGUUCCUUUGCCCGGGAGCCCCGAGCUAACGGAGCGGCCCGGCAGCUCUCGCGAGAGUGGCCGAUGUGGCCGUUGCCGGGCCAACGGCUGUGGACCCACGAGCCUUGCCUUAGAGAAAGCGGAGAUACCGUGUGACUGGGAAUGAAGGUGCUCCAGCUUCCCCUCUGAGUUCCAGGACUGAAACUCCGGCAGAUCACAUGGAUAUGUCAUGGCUUUUUAGUUCCUUUGAGAGCUGCCAGCUCAAAGGCCAAAUGUCGGCCAGGUCUGUCUGCAGGUGUGAGAGCGUAGUCCUGUGCGUGUAUGCCCUUUCCUUGCACGAUCCACUGGUAUGCUCCACUAUUCAGUGAUGCCGUUGUGCACGGAAACUUUUCAUGGGUCUUUGGUUGCAGAAGUGCCCCCAGGGAGGGCCUUGCUGGUUUCUCGGCUCCUUCCUGCGAUGGAGACCAGUUGGAAUCCCAUGGGUCCGCAAAGAGGAAACAGAGGAAAGGAUACACCUAGAAGAGGGAAGUACUACUGGUGGUCAUCCCGUGUCCUAAAGGAACCUGUGAAGAAAAUGGAGAAGGCAGCGCAUGGUGGGACUAAAGGGACUGACCAAGAGACUGUGCAGAAGGAGCCAUUGCAGGAAAGCAGCAGUGACACACGGCCAGUCUCUGAUAGAAAAACACAGGCAGAACAAGCAGCUGGAUUGCCAGGGGUGGAUGUUGGGAAAAUCACAACGGCCGCUGUUGGCAAAGAGCUGCGAAAACACCACAUCCCAGUGAUUGCUGUGGUCUCCGCUGUGCUGCUGUCUGUGCUGAUGCUGGCCUGUGUUCCUAUGCUGUGGAUGUGGAAAAAAUAUCUGUGAGUUAGCUUUUCCCCUAGACACUGUAUCGCUGCAUUUGGCUAUGAAGCAUUUGUGGUGACAGGAUCCUUGAUGGCCAAAUCAGCUGCUGGCAGUACACCGCCAGGAUUUAUGUUGCAAGGCCUUUUAAGUGUUCCCUCGAUUCCUAUCAGUGAGUAGUGCUUUCUGAAACUCAUUCCCACAGGGCACGCAAGACAGAGCGGACAGCUGCAAGACAAGCUGACUGGGAGAGAGAUCAAAACAGAGAUGAAGGCAGAGCGGAGCUGGGGGAGGCUGCAAAGGAGGAUGUCCUCGACCAAGGAAAAAUCAUCUCCAGGGCAUUCUCCUGGUCCUUUGAAGCAGAAUUUGCUGACCUGUGCAACAGAAUCAGAGCAGACCCCUCCCUUCAGCCCACGCAUCCCAGCAGCUCUCCUACUGUCAACGUCUCUUCCCUCAGUAGCUGCAGCUCUCAGGAUACCCCUGAGCCAUCCAGUGCCCCUGUUACCGGUGCCAAGAAGGCUCGGGUUCAUUGAAAGGUCCCACUUUGUGAUCAAUAAAGACAUUCCAUUCAAAAGCUGCUGCUGUGACCAUUUCCAUUGAGUUAUAGGGCAUAGGGCUGGGGCCAGCACUUGGUGCAAGGGAAGCAGUCGGAGAGCUGCAUGCCAGGGAGGGCCUCCUUGGUCCCAGCCUCAGCUUGCUUGUCUAACUGGGCGGUCACCCAAGCUCCCAUCAGAGCAGGGAAGUGCUGGGGAGACUUGAUAUGUGAAGAGUUGUCCUUGAGCUCUUCUGGGCUACUGCCCUGAAUCAGGGCAUGCAGGGAGGGAAGGAGGCACUUGGAAGGAAGCACUGAGCGCAUCUAGGAGAACCGACACUGCAGCAGAGGCUGGCAGUACAGUGAAACUGUACAGUGAAGCUGCAACAAAUGGAACGGAACAGAGAAUCUACACAGGGUAAUUGUUGAUGCCUUCAGGAGAGCAGACGACAGCCUGCCCCGUGGCAGUCCCUGUGGAGUCUCACCUCGCACAUUCACUCGCUCACGGACGGAGCUCGUCCCUCAGCACUGCCGAGGACUCUGGCAAGGCUCCUCUCCGCCUUUCACGGAGAGGGUCACCUUCCUCAGCUCGCCCCUUUCUCCCAACCGUUACCGGGAGGGGUGAAUUAAUUUCUUUUUGAUAUCUUUUCCUAUAGCUCCUAUUUCUCAAAUUCAGGCUCUGUCAUUGCCUUCGUUUGUACUACAAGACAGAAGCCCACCCCGCCUACAAGCGAAAAAUGGCUCGGUACCAAACCCCCCUCCCCGUUUUACUGCUCGGCACGAUGCUCUCUGGCCUGGAGCAACUCUUUGGUCAGUUCUGGUCUUCCGCCUGGUUAUGUUCCCUCUCAACUUCAAGCACAUCCCUAAGUCUACUCACCAGGAAGGGUGAGUGAGAAACAGAGGAGUGCUGACAUUCUGCAAGCACUGUUCAGCAACAGCCACAGCAUCGGUGUGCUAUCAACACUGUUUUGGUCACAAAUCUAAAACCCAGCAUUGUCUGAGCUGCAACGGACAACUCCAUCCCAGCCAGACCCACCUGAGUACCUGAGUGUACAUCCCUAUGACUUCCCCUGGCUCUCUCAGCACUCUCAGGCGCAAAACUUCCAGUCCCAGCGGCUGUUCAGCACAGAGGAACUCACGGCUUUAUCUCCACCCAAUGCUGGUUGUUCUCCAUGGCUCUGCCUCAAGGCAGCAGGGCCUGGGAGACCCCGCUAGUAAAGCCCGAGGCAAAAGAGGACACAGACUACAUCUCACCCGUCCGCAGAGUCUCAUUUGGAACUGACCACAUGUCAGUUUUCUUUUUUCCUUGUCUGCAACUUCGCUUAUGCAGCUGUGGCACUGCAGUGACCUGCGAUUCCUUCCUGCGCACACUGACCGUGCAGUGACACAGUAGCUCGCUGUGGUUGAGACCAGCAGCAGCUGAACACCACACACGGCCCUUUGCUCACUGUCCCCUUCUCAGCAGGAUGGGGGAGAGAACUGUAGCAGAGGUAGAGCUCACGGACUGAGAAAAAACUAUUUACUGAGACAGGAAAGUAAGAGCGAGAAAUAACAGUAACGGCAGUAACCAUGUGUGCCUCCACAAAACAAGCGAUGCACACGCAGCUGCUCACCACCCGCCAACUGACACGCAGGCCAGACCCCAAGCUGCGGCCCGCCCCGGCCAACGCUUCUCAGUUUUAGAGUUCCUCAUGUGAUCCCGUAUGCGAUGGAAGACCUCUUUGGUCAGUUGAGCGCAGCUGUCCCGGCUCUGUCCCCUCCCAGCUCCUUGCCCCCCCAGCCCCUCGCUGGCAGGACAGGGCGAGGAGCUGAGAAACUGAAAUCUCCUUGGCUCUGUGCAGCACUGCUCAGCAAAACUAAAACAUGAGUGUGUUAUCGAUAGUCUUCUCCUAAAGCCAAAGCACAGCAUCACACCAGACCCUACAAAGGAAACCAACUUUGUCCCAGCUGAAAGCAGGACACGGAGCAGGGGAAGGGAUUUCCCGAGUUCCCGUAGGAGCUGCAGCAGAUGCGUGUGCUCAGUUUGGCUGGGCAGGUAAUACCAAAAGGAUUAGUCCUGGAGAAUUAACCACAGUGGGUUAUAAGGAUGCAAAGAACAAAACAAAACAAAACAAACAAACAAACAAACAAAAAACCACACUGGGUACAUUUCUGCAAUGAAUAAUUCAAGCCCAAAGCAGACAAAUCUAAUCAAUUGUGAAUUUUCUUCCUCUUCCGAUGGCAUCCACAUUGCAGCACAAUCAAGCUCUCACUUAGGUUCUAACCUGCCUUCUUGAAUUCCCUGUUUCCUUAGGGCCCUUAAUGGUCAAACAUCCCACUAGUUUUAUGUUGCUGUUGCUCUCUGCUGUUUUUAAGCUUUACUAAAAAAUGCAUUAAAAAAAGGUUGGUUACUGAAAUGCCUUAAAUUUAUUAUAUAUUUGAUAUGCGUCCCAAGGCAAUUCCUGUUUGCUCAGUAUGGCCCAUGCAGAUUAAGGCAAAUUAAGAAAUUAAUUCCUGUUUGCUCAGGGCAGCUAAAAGGUUGGAUAGCCAUGAUCUAGAUCCUUCUGCAAGGCCUCUCGGCCCUCCGGGGAGCCUACAGCAGUUAAGUACCAUUAGGAAACUUGCCGAGGACGCACUCCCCUCCUGCACCCAGGUCAUCGAUCAAAGUGUUCGACAGGACCGGCCCGAGAACACUGCGAGUGACCGCACAACCAGGCAGAUAGAGCUGCAUUCACUGUGACUCUUUGAGCUCUGCCAUCAAGCCACUACUUAUCCAGCUCGCAGCUGGAUAACUUGUCCAGAAGGACACUGAG